rnacentral:rRNA from 1 species
GUCGUCCAACCCUCCUCCUCCUCCUCUCAACAAGACCUAGAUGACGGAGACGAGUCCUUGAUUGAAGACGCCCUGGCUCAUUUGUUAGCAGACGACUCCAAUCUACCUGGGCCCUCGAUUACAACCUCAGCAUUUAGUGGAACCCUUCCCCCU